rnacentral:snoRNA from 1 species
UGACGUUGGUUCCUCCUCCUGGCUGCAGUGGACCAGGAGGAUUUUACAAUGUCAGAGAGAAACUUGGGUCUUUUUUCACCCAGGAAGCUUAAGGCUGUACACAACAGCUUCCUGGUUUUGCGGGACCCAACAAAC